CUUCCUUUGCUUCUUUCUUUCCUCCUUUUCCUGCUAGGCACAAUUUUGAAGGACUCUCUGAUCUGAAGAGGAACACACACACACACACACACACACACACACACACACACACACACACACACACACCCAACAAACCAGUCAUUGAAUGAAGUCAUCACCUCCUAGGCAAGCCUCUGUGUAAUGAAUCUCUGUUUCUAGUUUAUAUCUAUUUCUCUUUUCAUCUAGGGAUUUACUAAUUCUUAAAGAUUAGAGGAGCCACUGGAAUGGAAUGGCCAUGGCUAGUAAGGACUCAUUUCUGAAGAGUUCUCUGCUUCACCUAGCUCUGCAACUUACCAGUCAAGAGGUAUCAUGCCUUGCAAACAAAGGAGCAAAUGAUCUAUCUAUUAUGUUAUAUCUGGAAGUGAAUUCAGUGUUAGAAAUGUUGGCAGCAAACACUGUGUUUGAAUCCACUUUCUUCUGGCAUCAACGUUAUAGAAAGAAGAGUUUACCCUAUUUCAGGUUUUAAAGCACAGAAACAAAGGAAGAUUCAAAACUAAAACAACCAAAUGAUGAGACUGAUAAUGAACAUUUUAAAUUUAAUCAUAUAUUUUAUCCACGACAUAAUCUACCAUGCUUCAUAGACCAUUACAACAACUGAAAUACUAUAAUUGAAGCCAAAAGAAAAGCCAUACCAUGAGGACAUCAGGAAAUGAUGAAUGAUCCUUCUCUUUGACAAAGAUUUCACAUUUUGUCUCUCUGCCACAUCUGCCUUGGCAAACAAAAUUUAACAAUAACUGAAAAAUAAAGUAAUUUCCCUAAAUG
rnacentral:lncRNA from 1 species